rnacentral:rRNA from 1 species
CCUACGGGUGGCAGCAGUGAGGAAUAUUGGUCAAUGGGCGCAAGCCUGAACCAGCCAAGUCGCGUGAGGGAAGACGGCCCUACGGGUUGUAAACCUCUUUUGCCGGGGAGCAGGCCUGAGCACGUGUGCCCAGGCGGAGAGUACCCGGAGACAAAGCAUCGGCUAACUCCGUGCCAGCAGCCGCGGUAAUACGGAGGAUGCGAGCGUUAUCCGGAUUUAUUGGGUUAAAAGGGUGCGCAGGCGGGCUGUUAAGCCGGCGGUAAAAAUUCAGGGCUCAACCAUGUCGGGCCGUCGGAACUGGCAGCCUUGAGUGGGCGAGAAGUAUGCGGAAUGCGUGGUGUAGCGGUGAAAUGCAUAGAGAUCACGCAGAACGCCGAUUGCGAAGGCAGCACACCGGCGGCAGACUGACGCUGAGGCACGAAAGCGUGGGGAGCGAACAGGAUUAGAUACCCGAGUAGUC